UUUGAGAUGACAUCUACAAAUACUGUUACACCGUCAUUGUAUCCAUCUCUUCCGACAUCUCCAUUUCCACCAUCCCCUCCACCCUCGUUUCGAGGGGGCCAUCCAAUGGCCUCUAGGGGAAGGGGAGAUUUGGGAGGUAGAGAUUUCAAAAAA